CAGCCUCAGGGCAGAGCUCCUGGAAGCCACUGCCGCCAUGGACUGGGCUCCCUUCUACCUCCUGCCCCUGGUUUUCUCCACAGGUCUCUGUGCUGAUCCUGUGCUGACCCAGCCCCCGUCUGCUUCUGCCUCCCUGGGAGCCUCGGCCAAGCUCACCUGCACCCUGAGCAGUGAGCACAGCGGUUAUACCAUUGCAUGGCAUCAGCAGCAGCCAGGGAAGGCCCCUCGCUAUUUGAUGUAUUUGAAGAGCGACGGAAGCCAUGAGAGGGGUGACGGGAUCCCCGACCGCUUCUCGGGCUCCAGCUCUGGGGCGGACCGCUACUUAACCAUCUCCAACCUCCAGCCUGAGGACGAGGCUGACUAUUACUGUCAGACAUGGAGCAGCAAUUAUAAUGCUCACAGUGACAAAGGCAGACGGGGAAUGGCCAGCAUCAGGGAGAGGCAGUCCCUGAACGCCCUGUCCCCAGACCACUCCCAGGAGCACAAGUGA